UACCGAAAGGGUUAAACGGGACCCACUAAAACUUCACGGCCCAUUUGUCCGUCCAUCCGUUCAUCUGUCACCAGGCUGUAUCUCAUGAACCGACAUAGUUAGACACUUGAAAUAUUCACAGUUUAUGAAAGUAUUUUUGUUGUAGCUAUAACAACAACAACGCAUAAACAAGAAUAAAAUAAAUAUUUUAGAGGCUCCCAUACAACUUGCAAAAAUUGCUGGGAAGUUUGUUCUUCAUCACUUCUUCAUCCCAGCCAUAACACUAGGAAGUGAUGAAAGGGGGGCGUUUUGGGGGUGCUGUCCUUUUGUUAAUUUGACGUGAAAAAGUGCUUAAAACUAGCCUACUUUCAAUAAACGUUUUUGAUUUUGACAACAAACGGUUUAUGUUUGCUCGUUUUAUAAGUAUCAGAAUAAUGAUACGGAACCCUUUGUGCGUGAACCCGACUCGUAUUUGGCCGAUUUGUUGAUAAUAAUAUGAACAUUAUGAGAAGAUAAAUCUAUAUAAACCGCCACAGACGUAUAUCCAUAUCAUUUGAGUUAUAAGUCAAAGUGUGUAAACAUGAAAGUGUAUUUGUUGCUCUGUUUGAUGCUUGUUGCACUUGCAUCAACGGUUUUCGCUGAUCCAAUUACAGCAGGUGUAUGCCCACCUGGGUAUAUACAAGUCGGGCAUCACUGCCUUCCGGAAGAUUAUUUGGAUGAUACAUAAUGCUCAAGAUGUCAAAUAGUUCUGAAAGCAAGUUUUUUUAUUAAAAUGCUUUUGAUACCCA